AUGAACGCUGGCGGCGUGCCUAAUACAUGCAAGUCGAGCGAACAGACGAGGAGCUUGCUCCUCUGACGUUAGCGGCGGACGGGUGAGUAACACGUGGAUAACCUACCUAUAAGACUGGGAUAACUUCGGGAAACCGGAGCUAAUACCGGAUAAUAUAUUGAACCGCAUGGUUCAAUAGUGAAAGACGGUUUUGCUGUCACUUAUAUAUGGAUCCGCGCCGCAUUAGCUAGUUGGUAAGGUAACGGCUUACCAAGGCAACGAUGCGUAGCCGACCUGAGAGGGUGAUCGGCCACACUGGAACUGAGACACGGUCCAGACUCCUACGGGAGGCAGCAGUAGGGAAUCUUCCGCAAUGGGCGAAAGCUUGACGGAGCAACGCCGCGUGAGUGAUGAAGGUCUUCGGAUCGUAAAACUCUGUUAUUAGGGAAGAACAAAUGUGUAAGUAACUAUGCACGUCUUGACGGUACCUAAUCAGAAAGCCACGGCUAACUACGUG
rnacentral:rRNA from 1 species